AGGACGAACGCUGGCGGCGUGCCUAAUACAUGCAAGUCGAACGGUCUUUCUAUGGAAGCUUGCUCCACUGAGAAGAUAGUGGCGAACGGGUGAGUAACACGUGGGUAACCUGCCCAUAAGAGGGGGGAGUAACAUCCGGAAACGGGUGCUAAUACCGCAUAGUUUUCUUGAUCGCAUGAUUGAGAAAGGAAAGACGGCCUUUGUGCUGUCGCUUAUGGAUGGACCCGCGGCGUAUUAGUUAGUUGGUGAGGUAACGGCUCACCAAGACGAUGAUACGUAGCCGACCUGAGAGGGUGAUCGGCCACAUUGGGACUGAGACACGGCCCAAACUCCUACGGGAGGCAGCAGUAGGGAAUCUUCCGCAAUGGACGAAAGUCUGACGGAGCAACGCCGCGUGAGUGAAAGAAGGUUUUCGGAUCGUAAAACUCUGUUGUCAGAGAAGAACAAGUUGGAGAGUAACUGCUCCAGCCUUGACGGUAUCUGACCAGAAAGCCACGGCUAACUACGUGCCAGCCGCCGC
rnacentral:rRNA from 1 species